rnacentral:rRNA from 1 species
UUAAUAACUGGGGUGAAGUCGUAACAAGGUAGCCGUAUCGGAAGGUGCGGCUGGAUCACCUCCUUUCUAAGGAGA